CAGAGGGAGAGAGAGAUUAUCAGCAAGUCUAACAGAAAAGUUAGACACAUAGACUCGCAUAGUUCCUGAAUCACCAAUGUGAUUGCUUGAUCUCACUCCUUCUGAACUGAGCUUGGCCAAAGAUGCCCAAAGAAUGGGAGCACCUGUCUACUUCCCAAGUGAAGCUCCAGACCCUACUCCUUUCUCUAGAGAUACCACUUUUAAUGGAUCACAAGCCAAUUCUCUCUCAGGGAAACUCCAGUUGAUUCCAAGUUGCCACCUACUAUACUGCUAAUUAGAGGCUACUUUUAUGACUCCAAGAUACUCUGCAGCUCCCGUUUCCUGUUGAUUGUACAUGUUUCUUGGUUAAUAAAGCA